AGUUGUUCAGGAUCACUACAAACCUCCAGGCAGGUGUGGGUUGAAUCAGGUUGGAGUUAAACCAACCAUCUAACCCUCCAGGAGCAGAAUUAGGUUGCUUUCACACUGGGCUUGUUUGCUGCGGUCCGAGCCCGAGCGCGAUUGUUUCCGGCGACCCCCGCAGCGUUGCUCUGGUUUCACACUCAACUGGAUUCUAUCAAACCCUGCUGAGUGAACAACACAGGUUUACUGUGUGUGUGAUGCAUAAGGUGGUUUUCCGCUGCUUGCAAACAAACUCUUUUGAGGAGACAGUGGAUUUCCAAAUUUGUUGUCCUGAUUCCACACGCUAUGCACGAACAAACUGAAGGCUAACUCUCGCUCGUAUCCAAGGCAAAUCAUCAACACUAUCAUC